rnacentral:rRNA from 1 species
GAGGCGAACCGGGGGAACUGAAACAUCUAAGUACCCCGAGGAAAAGAAAUCAACCGAGAUUCCGAAAGUAGCGGCGAGCGAAAUUGGACUAGCCCUUAAGCUUUACACGCGUUAGACGAACGGUCUGGAAAGUCCGACGAUACAGGGUGAUAGUCCCGUAGUUGACGACGUGUGUUCAGUGAAAUCGAGUAGGGCGGGACACGUGAUAUCCUGUCUGAAUAUGGGGGGACCAUCCUCCAAGGCUAAAUACUACUGACUGACCGAUAGUGAACCAGUACCGUGAGGGAAAGGCGAAAAGAACCCCUGUGAGGGGAGUGAAAUAGAACCUGAAACCGUGUACGUACAAGCAGUAGGAGCAGGCUUUGUCCUGUGACUGCGUACCUUUUGUAUAAUGGGUCAGCGACUUAUAU